rnacentral:rRNA from 1 species
AGUGAACGCUGGCGGUAGGCCUAACACAUGCAAGUCGAACGGCAGCACAGUAAGAGCUUGCUCUUACGGGUGGCGAGUGGCGGACGGGUGAGGAAUACAUCGGAAUCUACUUUUUCGUGGGGGAUAACGUAGGGAAACUUACGCUAAUACCGCAUACGACCUACGGGUGAAAGCAGGGGAUCUUCGGACCUUGCGCGAUUGAAUGAGCCGAUGUCGGAUUAGCUAGUUGGCGGGGUAAAGGCCCACCAAGGCGGCGAUCCGUAGCUGGUCUGAGAGGAUGAUCAGCCACACUGGAACUGAGACACGGUCCAGACUCCUACGGGAGGCAGCAGUGGGGAAUAUUGGACAAUGGGCGCAAGCCUGAUCCAGCCAUACCGCGUGGGUGAAGAAGGCCUUCGGGUUGUAAAUCCCUUUUGUUGGGAAAGAAAAGCAGCAGGUUAAUACCCCGCUGUUCUGACGGUACCCAAAGAAUAAGCACCGGCUAACUUCGUG